UCUAGUCUGUCGCCGCUCCGUCCUCUGUUCUAUCCUUUCCCCUUCUCUCCUCCAAGCUGGUCCGCCUAGCUGCUGCACAAAUCGAAGAGCUCGAUCUCAGCGGGACUUUACAUCCAAUAGCAAGAAGUUCGAUUGGUGGAACAACAAGGUAAAUCACGGUGGUAGGGAGCUGAUUUGGUCUGCGGAAUCUCGAUUAUUGCUGAUUUCGAUUUGGGUGGGCAGGACCUCGAUUCCGGCUGCAAGAUUUCGAUUUGGGUGGCUACAACCUCGAUUCUUGCUGCAAGAUCUCGAUUAGGAUCGUGAGGAUUUCUAUUUUGCGGUUUCCUCGUCAUUGCGUCCAGUCAAGGUCACCAUGGUGGGACAUCGAGCUGGGAGGGUGUGACAGCAGGUGUUGUGAAUACGAUGGUGAUGGUGUAUCCUUCAAGGUCCUCUUGUCGGAGCAAAGAAUCUUCCCCCUGACAAAUCUAGUUUGGUUAGUUGUCUUGUGCCUUCCCCCUUUUUUCGUGAGGAAUAUGUACUUUACCACUUCAGUGUGAUACUUGCAAUCAGUUGAUUAGUUUGUGAACAGAAAUGAAAUUAUAUUAAUUGUUUUUUACAAAACACAGAAAAUAUAGUUCCUAGGUAAGAUAAAUUGUUUGAUACAAAGGAUUCGAUAGAUAGUGCACAGAACACAUCCAUUCUCCUAAAAGGAUGUGGCCUAAAAGGAUGUGGCUUUCAAUAGUUCAAUUAAAAUGGGAAAACAUAUUAUUGUAGGGAUUUGUAACAAAUGAUUGAGUGGUAUUUUCUUGCUGUGUAUGUUGACCAUGACCAGGGGUCCCAAAGAAAGAACCGAAGGAUGGAUGCGUAAAAGCAUUUCCAACUGGAUAGUAGCCUUGAUAGUAGCCUGGUGUCUGUAUGUGAUGUUGAUCUGUACUAGUCCCUAAGUGGCCCUGUUCAAACCAAGAAAAAGGAUUUGAAUAUCACUACUGAAUAUGUGACUAGUCUUAAUAAUAGUAAUAGUAAAUAAUGUUGAAAUCUUAUACCAAUAUGACUUGUGGUCGCAAAUGUGUCACAAUAUCUGAUUCCAUUGCUGAGCUAGAUGCCUUUGAGUCAUUGUUGGUCUUUUUCCUCUUUCGUGUUGCCUUCUCAAAACCAGAUGCAGAACCAGAUGUCUUUGGGUCAUUCUUAUUCUUUUUUCUCUUUUGUGUUGCCUUCUCAAAUCCACCAAUUGGUCUGUCAGAUCCAUGGAUUGCCUUCUCCUUAACCUUGACACCUUUUGGUUUUAUAGCCUGGUCUGGUUGUAGUGUAGCUGCAAAAGUCAUUUUUUUAAAAAAAUUUACAAAAACAAAUAAAUUGUGUGGCAUAUGUGGGGUUAAGGCAAGUAGUAUUCCAGUGCAAACCUUGCGGCUGAGAUGAACUACCCGUAUCUGUAUCGCCUCUAUUUUUCAAGCUUUUCUCCACAUCCUCUGCUAAUUUCUCUGCACUGUUCACAGCAAUAGAGUAUGUUUCAUCGGAUUCUGCAGCUCGGUUAGCUAACUGAAGGAAUAUUCUACACAACACUUUUCUGCGUUUGGAUAGCUUUAUUUUGGGAUCUUCAUGUAUCUCAGGGUUGCUCUUUAUAUGAACCACUUUUGCAUCAAUUGUCCAUCUGUUGAGUAUGUAUUGUUCAGGAAUUUUUUUUAUAUUGUUAAUAUCAAGUAUCUUCAAUGCAUGGCAGCAUAAGAUUCCAGCAAAUUCGAACUUUUUGCAGCUACACUUCACAUGACCUUCAAGUGCAGAAAACUUUACGACAUGCUCGUUUUUCUUACCAUAAACCUUUAUUUUGUACACCUUUUCAGCAUCAAUAUCACCAGAAUAGAAUAGAUCGCAGUUUAGUGUUUGCAUCACUUGUUCUUGUACUAGCUUGAAUACUGCUGGGGUAUAAAUUUUUGCUGCAUGCCUUAGUAUUGUCAGGUCUGCUUUCAACUUUGGUGUACUUUGUGUUGCUUUGAAAUCAUAUUUUACCUCUUCAUAUCUUUUAUCUCCCACCAACCUGUCAAAGUGCUCAAAAAAAGUAAGUAUAUCAUAUUUGACACUAAUAUAUCCCUUCAAUUCAUUAUUCAUGCUUUCACUUCUUUGAGUGCUAACCAUAUCAGCAGAAAAUGUAUUUCGUCCAUAUGCUAAGGCCCAUUGCUCCCUUUUAUCAAAUAAUCUUUCGAGCCAUUUAUUUUCUUGUAGCUUAUACUUAUCUAGCAAAUUGUUCCACGCGUUUAUAAAAUCCUCCUCAUCCUCUUGAUCAUAAAUACAGUUUUGAAAAUCUGUAUUGAACUUCUUAUAUUCUUCCACAACUCCAGAAAGGUGCUUGCAUGCAUUCUGGUUCAUAUGCCAAAUACAAAUCCUGUGAUGACUCUCUGGUAGCACUAGCUUGAUUGCUUUUGCCAUUGCUGCAUCUUCAUCAGUUAAAAUGGUCUUUGGCUUCUUGCCUGACAUAACAGCUAAAAAGGUUUUGAAAAGCCACACAAAACUUUCAGCAGUUUCGUCAUACAAAAGUGCAGCACCAAAAAUAGUAGUUUUCUUAUGAUUGUUCACUCCAACUAGCAAACCGAAUGGACGCCCAUCAUUUAGCUUUCUGUAUGUUGUGUCAAAGCAAACGACAUCACCAUAAAUUUCAUAGUCUGAAACCAUUUUAGAAUCAGCCCAAAAAAUAUUCGUUAUCAAGUCAUCAUCGUCAACCUGAAAGGAAUGGAAAAACUUCCCAUCUUCUGAUGCUUUCUUCUCCAAAUAUUCCAACACUCCUCCCGUGUCUCCUUGUUUUACCUUCAUUGAUCUCUUUGAAUAUAAUUUAUUUUUCAUAUCUUCACGCGUAAAUCCAAGAUUCUCAUUUCCACCGGCUUCUUUUGCCAUGAGAUCAAAAGUGGCUUUAUUUGAAAUCCCAACCGCUUUAGCAGCUUCGACACUGACAAUCUGUGCUGUAGUUAUUCUCCUUUGAGAUCUUAAGUACUGGGCUUGGAUGGCAGUAGCAAGAAUAUGGUUAUGCUCAGGCUCAAAUUCAUAGAUGUAGUACAACCCAUCCGUGAGACUUAUCUUCAUGCGUGCUUGACACAUGCAUCGUGUCUCAGGCCUACUGUACUUGGAAUUUUCUUCUCUUUUAUCAGGACCCCGAAUACCUAUUGAUAAAUAAAAAAUUUGAUUAAAUUGAUGUUCUAUCCCAAACCAUGAAGAAACUAUUAUAAAAAAGAUUUAAUUUGAUACCUACACGAGAACAACAAAAGGUUCUGUUCUUUAUUGUUGUAGUAUUUUUAACAUUGUGUGAACUACUCCUUCGGAUGCUGAAACCCUUGUAUCUGGCGUAAGCAUUGUAAAAUUUAUAGGCUUCUUCCUCAGUGCAGAAUUUCAUACCAACCUUUGGUAUCCUGUCUUCUAGAGAAUUUUCUACUCGAGUAGCAAAAUCAAAUUUACCAGAAUCCUGUUCGGGUUUGUAGAGAUUACAUACGUACCAAGUUAGAAAUCAUGCAGAAUAUGCAAACAUAUUUACAUAGGUACAGUAUGACUUACAUUUUCUAACUCUAUUCUUUCCGUAUGACCAGAAGGAAUGUUGAUCCGACAGAAAUUUGGCGAGGAUGUGGUACCUGCAACCGGCGGCAUGGCCAUGCUUAGUACUUGUGGAAGUAAUGGCGGUGCCCGAUCCAAGUAGUUGUCUUCGUUGAUAGGUGUAAUGUGAUUUGACUGAGAUGCCAUUGUUGUUGUGUGGGAGAUAAGGAAGAUGCAAAUCUGAUAAUUAUCUUUUUGUGUUUUUAGUGUUGUUAGCUUGGCGGCCGAUAAAAACUGCACCCGCUGUAAUUGGCGCCAUUUUCUUCAGAAUUAGGCGGCUUUUCCCUCCAUUAAUUCUCCCUAACCCUCGUAAUUACGUUAGUGGGGCCAAAGAAACAAGCGCACAUGGGGCCAUUCUCCCUAACCCUCCGUUUCCUGACUCCGUUUUCUGUUAUCGUGGGCUGAGGAAAAAUUAAAGGGCCCAAGAAGUGAACGGAUGGCAUCCACGUGUGCAGAGAUAUGGAUGGAGACAUGCAAAGGAGACAGAGAAGCC
rnacentral:lncRNA from 1 species